rnacentral:ncRNA from 1 species
GAGAACUGAUAUUUUGAGCAGUGGAAUGAUGGGGUAACGCCCUGAAACGCUCCCUUAAUACUCCGACUGGCUGUUUAACAUAUAGCUGUUAGAUGGUCAGAAGCUCGGUGAAGUCGGCUGAAAGUUACCGUAAAUAUGAUAAAUUCAUAUACGAAAGUUGUUCAGAGGUGAAUGAUGUAACCUAUAGGUCGGAGGUCUAUAAA